GAUGAACGCUGGCGGCGUGCCUAAUACAUGCAAGUCGAGCGAACGGACGAGAAGCUUUCUUCUCUGCUGUUAGCGGCGGACGGGCGAGUAACACGUGGAUCACCUACCUCUAAGACUGGGAUGACUUCGGGAAGCCGUAGCUAAUACCGGAUCAUAUUUUGUACCGCAUGGUUCAAAAGUGAUUGACGGUCUUGCUGUUACUUAUAGAUGAUUCCGCGUUGCAUUAGCUAGUUGGUAAGGUAACGGCUUACCAAGGCGACGAUGCGUAGCUGACCUGAGAGGAUGAUCGGCCACACUGGAACUGAGACACGGUCCAGACUCCUACGGGAGGCAGCAGUAGGGAAUAUUCCGCAAUGGGCGAAAGCCUGAUGGAGCCACGCCGCGUGAGUGAUGAAGGUCUUCGGAUCGUAAAACUCUGUUAUUAGGAAAGAACAUAUGUGUAAGUAACUGUGGACAUCUUGACGGUACCUAAACAGAAAGCCACGGCUAACUACGUG
rnacentral:rRNA from 1 species